UCCGAGUUGACCCCGGCAGUCUCCUAUGAGUCCCCACCAUCACGUGCUGGCAACAUAGAACGAGGGUUGCGCUCGUUGCGGGACUUAACCCAACAUCUCACGGCACGAGCUGACGACAGCCAUGCACCACCUGUCACCGGUCCAGCCGAACUGAAGGAGACCAUCUCUGGGCUUAGCGCGGGAUGUCAAACCCUGGUAAGGUUCUGCGCGUUGCGUCGAAUUAAACCACAUGCUCCACCGCUUGUGCGGGCCCCCGUCAAUUCCUUUGAGUUUCAACCUUGCGGCCGUACUCCCCAGGCGGGACGCUUAAUGCGUUAGCUGCGCCACUGAUAAGCAUGCUUACCAACGGCUAGCAUCCAUCGUUUACGGCGUGGACUAC
rnacentral:misc_RNA from 1 species